GAUGAACGCUAGCUACAGGCUUAACACAUGCAAGUCGAGGGACCGGCGCACGGGUGAGUAACACGUAUCCAACAUGCCCUUUACUCGGGGCUAGCCUUUCCAAAGAAAGAUUAAUACCCGAUAUAAAGGAUGGUGAUGCGUUCCAUUAGGUUGUUGGUGAGGUAACGGCUCACCAAGCCUUCGAUUGAUAGGGGUUCUGAGAGUAAGGUACCCGACAUUGGAACUGCGACACGGUCUAAACUCGUACGGGAGGCAGCAGUGAGGAAUAUUGGGCAAUGGGCUCUAGCCUGAACAAGCCAAGUAACGUGAAGGAUGAAGGCUUAUUGGUCGUAAACUUCUUUUAUAUAAGAAUAUGUAUUAUAUGAAUAAGGAUCGGCUAACUCCGUGCCAGCAGCCGCGGUAAUUC
rnacentral:rRNA from 1 species